GACGAACGCUGGCGGCGUGCUUAACACAUGCAAGUCGAACGAUGAAGCCGGAGCUUGCUCUGGUGAAUUAGUGGCGAACGGGUGAGUAACACGUGAGUAACCUGCCCUUGACUCUGGGAUAACUGCGGGAAACUGUAGCUAAUACCGGAUACGACCCUCGGAGGCAUCUCCUGGGGGUGGAAAGAAUUUCGGUCAAGGAUGGACUCGCGGCCUAUCAGCUAGUUGGUGAGGUAAAGGCUCACCAAGGCGACGACGGGUAGCCGGCCUGAGAGGGUGACCGGCCACACUGGGACUGAGACACGGCCCAGACGCCUACGGGAGGCAGCAGUGGGGAAUAUUGCACAAUGGGCGCAAGCCUGAUGCAGCAACGCCGCGUGAGGGAUGACGGCCUUCGGGUUGCAAACCUCUUUUAGCAGGGAAGAAGCGAAAGUGACGGUACCUGCAGAAAAAGCACCGGCUAACUACGUGCCAGCCGCCGCAGUAA
rnacentral:rRNA from 1 species